UUUUAGUAGCAAGCAAAACGACAACCCUUACCGAGAUUCUACUUCACCUCAAUUACCCGUAAUGAGGUAAGCCGUAAGGCGCAGGUGAACGGGUGGUGCAGGGUUGUUUUCAGCUCGGGUCGUGGGAUGUUGGGUUAAGUCCCGCAACGAGCGAACCCCUUAUCUUUAGUUGCUACCGUUAAGUUGGGCACUCUAGUGAGACUGCCGAGGUUAACUGGGAGGAAGGUGGGGAUGACGUCAAAUCAUCAUGCCCCUUAUGUUUAGGGCUACACACGUGCUACAAUGGGUGGUACAAAGGGAUGCCAGACCGCGAGGUGGAGCUAAUCCUAUAAAACCAAUCUCAGUUCGGAUUGUAGGCUGAAACUCGCCUACAUGAAGCCGGAGUUAUUGGUAUCGCAGUGCACAAUA
rnacentral:rRNA from 1 species